AUGCGUGGCCACGCUUGGCACGAUUCGCACCGCAACACGCCUGCUUCUGUUCCUCCUCCGUGCGCCACCUCCGCUAUGACCAGGAGCUCUAGAGUGAUGUGGGAGAGCCUCUUGACGAAGCAGAAGCACAAGUUGGCCGGCGUUGCAGUGGGAUGGCAGGCCCGUCAUGCGCGACGGAUAGAGGCCGGCUUGCUGGUGAGCUCACCGGAGGUGAGCGAGGACGACACAGCGAUGGAGGAGGCGUCCGAUGACGAGCGAACACCCCCACCGGCAUUGGUGCAUGCUUACUUUACCAUGGAGCAGGCGCAGGUGCAAGGAAAGGAAACAUAG
rnacentral:rRNA from 1 species